GGAAAUUGAAAUUGAUGAGGGCGUUGGCCGCUCAAUUCCUGCUUCGGAUUCCUCAACUCGGAAGGAAAAAUAUAAACUUUCCGUCGUACAAGCAUCGCGAAUGCAAUUACAAUUUACAAUUUACAGCACCAAUGACAAUUGUUCUUCAACUCCUUCUUCGAAGAAGAAAAAUUACUUAGAAUUGACCGACGAUGAGCUGCUUCGCGAAUGCGAAAUGGACGCGUACAAAUCGUCCGGACCAGGCGGUCAGCACCGCAACAAGUGCGAAUCCGCCGUACGUCUCAAGCACGUACCGACAGGCGUCAUAGCGCAGGCUCCCGAAGACCGAUCGCAGCACAAGAAUCGGGCGUCAGCGUUGUCGCGCCUCCGCACUCUUUUGGCCCUCAAAGUGAGGAGCAGUGUGAAUCUUGAUGCGUAUUCGCCGCCGCCGCAGCUUCUUCAAAUCCUUCCUCCUAAGUCUACUAUUAGAAGUUCAGAAGUUGGUCCACAAAUUGGACCUAACAAUCCUAAAUUUUUGGACCUAACAAAUAAUUAUAUAUGUACGCUCGUAAUGUUUUUGUUUUCUGUUAAAAUUUAAGUCAUCGUAAUGUUUUUUUUUUUUUUUUGUUAACUUCAGGGAAUGCAAGCUCUGCUUGAUCUAAUUUUCG
rnacentral:lncRNA from 1 species